CCUACGGGGGGCAGCAGUCGAGAAUUUUUCUCAAUGGGGGAAACCCUGAAGGAGCGACGCCGCGUGAGGGAUGAAGGGCUUCGGCUCGUAAACCUCUGUCAUUUGCGAACAAACCUUUCCACCUAACACGUGGAGAGCUGAUUGUAGCGAAAGAGGAAGGGACGGCUAACUCUGUGCCAGCAGCCGCGGUAAUACAGAGGUCCCAAGCGUUGUUCGGAUUCACUGGGCGUAAAGGGUGCGUAGGUGGUGGGGUAAGUCUGAUGUGAAAUCUCCGAGCUCAACUCGGAAAUGGCAUUGGAUACUAUUCCGCUAGAGGGUUGGAGGGGAGACUGGAAUUCUCGGUGUAGCAGUGAAAUGCGUAGAUAUCGAGAGGAACACCAGUGGCGAAAGCGAGUCUCUGGACAACUCCUGACACUGAGGCACGAAAGCUAGGGGAGCAA
rnacentral:rRNA from 1 species